rnacentral:lncRNA from 1 species
CUUCCAAACGUUAUUAUACAAGUUAAAGUAACGUCGGUUUAAUUAUUAAUUAUAUUAAUUAAACGUAUGUGGAUCCCAAAACAAUCCAAAUAUGGUGUUUUUAAAUCGUGUCAUGAUGUAAUGCUGCCAAACAUUCACAUGCUGGAGGUUUCUUGGGGCAAAAGGGCAAAAUGAGGCAGAUCUACCCGCCCCUGACAACCAUCACAAACCCACACACAACAGCAGCAGCAGUAGCAGCUCACAUUCACUCAGCGUGACAGCAAACACGCUUUAAAAACACGACAAACUCCGCUCAGACUCACCCGCAAUGAGGGAAAUAACCAACUCGCCCUCGAUGACGUCACCGCGGCCGAAGUUCGUCUGAAGCGCUCUAUUCUUUUGAUAAAGGGGACAUGAGGAGACCUGACCAGGUGACUGUGUAAAUCUGAACACAGAAGAUGAUGUUCUGUGCCGACCAGUGACGGACAUGAACGGGAAAGGCUGUAACCUGUUGGUUUCUGCGUCCAGUCCGGCUCAGGUUCCUCACCUGAGGGUCCAGACGGGUCACUCCUCUUCUCCAUCGCUCCAUCCCGAUGCCAGGUCUGGAAACCCGGCCCUUCUUCCCGCGCUGAGCCUCCGCCGGCAGGUGCUGACCAAUGGGAAGCUGGGCUUUCCGCAGUCCUCACGACAUCAAGCCCUCCCCUUUCACUCCCAGCAUCCUCUCCCAAACAGUCAGCUCGACCCAGCUGCCUGGACAAUGGUUACUUGUCUUUGGGGAUGAACAGAAGAGUGUUUGGUCCGUGUGGCGGUUCAAACCUGCAGGUGAUGAGCAAUGCCAGGCUGGUCCAGAGUCUGGGUCCGGUUUCUUCACAGACUUCAGUCCAAAGCGGCGCUCAUCAUUCACUCGCUGUUCCCUUCACUGACGCCAGGUAGAAAUAAAGAGUUCUUCACCCUGAUGCUACAGAAGAACCAUUAUGGGUUCCUAAAAGAACCUUUCAGUGAUCAGUUCUUAAAGAACCAUUUUUAUGUUAGUGUGAAGAACGUUUUAACAAUUAUAAGAGCAUUUCAUGGAAUUGAAAGAUUCCAUGGAUGAUAAAGAUUCAUAUAGACACCAGUGAAGAACCUUUAAAUUUAGAUUUAAUAAGAGUGAAUUUCUGUAUUCCAUAACAAACAAAAGCAUAUGUUUUUAUGUAUGUUUAAGCAUUGUCUAUAGGCUCAAACUCCAAAAAGUACCAUAUAAAUAGUCCAUUUGCACUAUAUUCCAAGACCGAACAGGUUGAUAUAGUCAUUAUCCACCGAAAACCUUCCUUUCUACCAAAAGCGUUCAAGUCUCAUUCAUGCCUCUUCAUAUUCAGACUUGGCACGCCAUUAUUUUCUCAUCCUCAUGUUGUUCUCUCAGCAUGCAAAAAGCAUUCGUUUGUCUCUUAUCAGCCAACAAUGAAUGUUUUUUAAAAGUUAUAUGUUGGACAAAACAUUCUUAAAGUAAUGUUCAUGGAAUGUUCUUAUAACUUUACUAAUAUGUUCUUAUAACAUUGAGAGAAAACAUUCUGAGAUGAACAUGAUGUUAUUUGUGCUUCUGUUUUUAUAACCUUUAAA